GCCAGUGUGGUGCAGUGGUUUGAGCGUUGGACUACAAAUCUGGAAAUCAGGGUUCAAAUCCCUACUCAGCCA
rnacentral:tRNA from 1 species